AUUGAACGCUGGCGGCAGGCUUAACACAUGCAAGUCGAACGAGUGGCGGACGGGUGAGUAAUGCUUGGGAAUCUGGCUUAUGGAGGGGGAUAACGACGGGAAACUGUCGCUAAUACCGCGUACCAUAGGAUGAGCCCAAGUGGGAUUAGGUAGUUGGUGGGGUAAUGGCCUACCAAGCCGACGAUCUCUAGCUGGUGUGAGAGGAUGACCAGCCACACCGGGACUGAGUGACGGCCCGGACGCCUGCGGGAGGCAGUAGUAGGGAAUAUUGCGCAUAAGGGGCAACCCUGACGGCACCAUGCCGCGUGAAUGAAGAAGGCCUUCGGGUUGUAAAGUUCUGUCGGUAUUGAGGCGUUAAAUACAGAAGAAGAACCGGCUAACUCCGUGACAGCAGCCGCGGUAAUUC
rnacentral:rRNA from 1 species